GCCAGACUUCAUGUACAGACAUUUCCUCCAUAAACAGAAUAUUCAGAAAACUGGAAAACCAAUCGUUCCAAAGGAAUAAGCAGUCCUCCCAUGGAAUUAAGCUGGGCUUGGCUACAGUCCAGGGCUGAUUACUCCUGCAAUUUCCCGUUCCUGAAAAUGAUGCAUACACAACCUUGGUCUCCCAGCAGCCCCAAAAUUACCCCAAACUCUGGGUCAAUGCAGACAUAAAUGUGCAAAACCCUCCUGCACUGAUGGGAAAUGAAGACCUGGCACAGAGGAACAGCAGCUCCGAGAGAUCUCCUGAGUCAGAAGCUGCACAGACAGUUUCAAAAAUAUCUUUGUUUGCCAAGGAGCCCGAGACAUCAGCCAGCCAAAGUGACAGCCCACAGCUUGAGUGUGAAUGUUCAGAGCUAAAUUCCAUUGGCAUGGAUUGGGUAUGAAGAGGAAUUGCACAAUGGAAGGAAGUUUUGACCAUCUGCCUUGCUAAUAUACAACUCAGAGAAAAAAUGGUGCUGAUCCUCUUGAAGAGGAUUGCUUUUUCUUUUUUAUUUUUAUUUUUUUCAUUUUCCUCUCUCCUUACUUUAAUUAAAGAAGCAAAAAAUGUGGUCAAAUUAUCCCUAAAGUGUGACACUCCAUUUUAGCAGAGCUCACAAGUCCUUACAAAUCCCCCAAAGAAUUCCAGCUGUUUCCCUGCAGCAUGCCAUGAAUACAGACAUAGACCUCCACCUAUUCAUAUUUUAUGGUAUUAUUUUGUAGUUGAUUCUGCUUUGAAUGGGAUGCUGGGCUUGAUAAGCUCCAGAGGUCCUUUAUAACCUCAAUUAUUCCACAAUUAUUCCAAGGAUUCUAAGGACUAAGAGGUGAACUAUACAUUUUGAAGCACUAACAGAAUUAUCAGAACAUAAAAUCAGAUUGAAACCAACCAACACUGAAAACCCCACCACAAUAAGAGGGUCUAUGGGUCACAGCCCAUGGAUUUUAAUUUGGAAGUACCCAAAUGCCAAGGCAGCAAGCGGGAAGAGGAUCCCAGGAUUUCCAUCUAUACUUACUAUCCAUCCAAUGAAUGCUGCCCAUAAGGAAUAAGUCAUGGCUCCAGCUCCUCUUAAUUCCCAGCAAUCAGGUGGGAUUCAGACUGGUGAGAUCAGCCAACUCCAGCUUUAAUUAAUUGCUGAAUGGAGUCAGUGCCUAGCGGAACGUUCCUUCUGCCCCCACCCUCUCUGCUGCAGCCCCAGAUAAAGAGUUCCAGGAACUGCCCAGCUGAGCUCAGGGAUGAGUUACAGCCCUCCCCAACACCCUGGCCAGCACAACAGCCCCAAAGAGCACAGCACUGCCCCCAUCCCUGGGGACCAGCCCCAAGAGCAGGGACAGAAUUAAUGGAAUUAAUCCACCUCAGAACCUCCUGGGCUCUACACCCCGACACAGCCACCUGCAGGGUGGUCAGCAGCUCGGAUGUGUCUCCAGCAGAGGGGAGUGUUGGAACGCGCUGACGGAACUGCGACUCCGCACCUAAAAUCUGUCUUUUCUCCAAAGAAAACAAAGGCACAACCUUGGCGCAGAAGAAAUGGUUUGGUUUUACAUAAUGCUCUGCAGUACCUCCGUGGGGCUUUGGAAAACAUCAGUGUGAACAACAGCUGGAUGCUAUUUCACAACAUAAAAUUUCUCAGAGGGCUAAAGUCAGGUCAUCCUUCUGCAACUGAGGAGAACACCACCCAACAACUUCAAGCAGGAAUUCACCCCAACAGUUUGUAUGUUAGAGACAAAUCAAACCACCCAAAACCACCCAGCUGUGAUCCCUCACAGAAACACUCCUCUGUGUGUUGCCGACAGAAAGAAAAUUAAACCCAUCAUUUCUCAGGCUGGGACAGCUCUAUUUGUCUGCACAAGCGGAGAAAACAACAAAUACCAUAAUGCUCUAGAGCCAUCUUGAGUUCAGGACGAAAAUUCUUCACUCAGAAAGCAAACUGAACAAGCUGCAAGGCUGAGACUUCGUGUUGGAAGCUUUGGCAGGGAACGGUGGGGUGGGAUCCCAGGGAGAGGCAACCUUGCCAGUUCAACCCCCCAGCAAACACUUUCCUGCUUGGCAGACACAUCCUUCUACCACAGCCCUUUGCAAAGAGGAAAACAGAGCUGCAGCUCCCUGAUCCCACCCCAAACCCCU